rnacentral:tRNA from 1 species
GCCGUUGUGGCUCAGGUGGUAGAGCAGCUGAUUCGUAAUCAGCAGGCCGCGAGUUCGAGUCUCGCCAACGGCU